AAAGCAGAUUUCAAUUAUGGUAUUUCUUUUCAUUGAAAUAUUUCAAUUAUCCUACUAAAAGUCAUGCUCAUCCAUUUUCACUUUGCUUUUAAGAGGUUAAAAUCAUGACAGAUUGAUAAAACAAGA
ensembl:snoRNA